rnacentral:rRNA from 1 species
AUUGAACGCUGGCGGCAGGCCUAACACAUGCAAGUCGAGCGGAGCGGCGGACGGGUGAGUAAUGCCUAGGAAUCUGCCUGGGCGUGGGGGAUAAGGUCCGGAAACGGGCGCUAAUACCGCAUACUAUCAGAUUAGCCUAGGUCGGAUUAGCUAGUUGGUGGGGUAAAGGCCUACCAAGGCGACGAUCCGUAACUGGUCUGAGAGGAUGAUCAGUCACACUGGAACUGAGACACGGUCCAGACUCCUACGGGAGGCAGCAGUGGGGAAUAUUGGACAAUGGGCGAAAGCCUGAUCCAGCCAGGCCGCGUGUUUGAAGAAGGCCUUCGGGUUGUAAAGCACUUUCAGUUGGGAGGCGUUACCAGCAGAAUAAGCACCGGCUAACUUCGUGCCAGCAGCCGCGGUAAUAC